GUUGCAUUAAAAAGCAAUAGGUAGGUAGAUAUAAAGAAAAUAAUUAUAAAAAUUGAAUAUAUUUUAUUAAAUAUAUAGUAUACACCAUAUAUUUUUUUUCAAAACUUUCUGGGAUAUAUGACCGAUUCCUCUAGAAUCUCUGAAACUAAUAGAUUUAUUAAUUUAAAACAGGUAUUAAUGAUAGUCUGAUGUAUUGCGGUGUUGCUGAUUACAUGAUUUUUUUAAAUAUCGACUAGGUACCUAUGCUACUGGAGAGCGUAGUACCUAUCCCUUCCCAAUAGACAUUUUUGAGAAUGCUACUGCCAGUAGGUAUUGGUUAACUCUUUCUAAGUCGAUAUUAGGUGACUUGAAAAAUAGUCGGUGAUGGGCAAGACUUUAUUUCAGAAAAAAUUUCGGGGGAGAGAUCCGUAUUUUUGUUUGGUCACUUAUAAGUUCACUCAUAAUUUUUUACAUUAAAAUAUAACCACUUAAUCUACUGUUGAACAAUUUCCGGGGGUCACUCCGCUCUAGAUACGGCCUUCGGUAUGAGGGAUGUAUAGUCCACAUACACUACGAUAUUGCCUUAUAUGGAUGAUAAUAAUAUUUAUAUUUACUAACCGAAAAU